CCAGUUCAGUUUUGCCCUUUUUCUAAAUGUCAAAAACACACACACACACACACACACACACACACACACACACACACACACACACACACACACACACACACACACACACACACACACACACACACACACACACACAGAGAGAGACAAUAUAAUUAAGGAAUAGAAGGAAAUAGGACAAGACUAGACAAACAACCUUCUCAUCAAUCAAGUUUUUCAUUAUUGUUUUUAUCCUUACACACAGUAUAUUGUGUAUUCAUAGGACUAUAUAUGUCUAACCCAGAAGUGAGGGUGAGGGCAUCAUGCCUUACUGUCCGGCGUCUCCAAACAGGAAACUUGAGCGGAGAGAUAACCCACGUUUGCUAAUCUGGUUCGGACUGGUUAGACUCUGGCUCCAAUUAAUUCUAGUCGUUCAGAUGUUUUUGUGUUUGUGUAUUAUGUCCUCAUGUUUAAACAACCCUGGUGUAGGUUUUAAUCGAGCACAAUCGUUUGCUAGAUUGACCUGAUACCAGAAUUUGUACAUUUUUAAGCAGAAGACACUUUUUUAUUCAGGAAGCAGCAAUACAACACGCCCGAAUCCGAUACAAACCACUGAUUCAUCUGAGGGACGGUUUAAAAUGUCAGACCCAGGGAGGGGAACAGAGAAAUGUAAUCUACGUGACAUUUUACUUGGCAAACACACAAAUAACAAACGAUUAUCUGUUUACAUAAAAUCAAAUCCAUCAAAAUAUAAUGAUUGACAGUCCAGUCAACAACAACAGUAUUAUUUAUUAUAGUCUGUAUAUAUUUCUUCAACAUUGCACCACCUGUGAACAGUUAUCACCAGUUUGAGGUGCUAAUGGUACCGGUGGUGGUGGUGGUGCUGGUGGUGUUGGUGCUGCUGAUGGAGCGAUCAUCACCGGGACUGAAGACUAGUGACGUCUCACUUGGGGUAUUUGACAAACUGACACUCUGUCUUUUAGUGUCCAGCUCAGCUUGUCAAAUACACUAAGUGGGACGCCGCCUCCUGAAGGAGGUGGAGGAGCCUCAGCCUGCACCUGGAGGAGGUGGAGGAGCCUCAGCCUGCACCUGGAGGAGGUGGAGGAGCUUCAGCCUGCACCUGGAGGAGGUGGAGGAGGAGGUGGAGGAGGUUCAGCCUGCUCCUAAAGGUGGAGGGAAAAACUAGAUUAUAAGAAAUAAAUACAAAUAGACACUCAGCAUUACUACUGGGUAAUGUUUAGUCAUUUAGCAGGUAGGGGUUAGACAGUACAGAGACAAGUCAUUAAGGAGCAGGUAGGGGCUAGACAGUACAGAGACAGGUCAUUAAGGAGCAGGUAGGGGUUAGACAGUACAGAGACAGGUCAUCAAGGAGCAGGUAGGGGUUAGACAGUACAGAGACAGGUCAUUAAGGAGCAGGUAGGGGUUAGACAGUACAGACAGGUCAUUAAGGAGCAGGUAGGGGUUAGACAGUACAGAGACAGGUCAUUAAGGAGCAGGUAGGGGUUAGACAGUACAGUGACAGGUCAUUGAGGAGCAGGUAGGGGUUAGACAGUACAGGUCAGACUGUGGAUGUAGGGGAUCAAACCUUUGGCCUGGGAGUCAAACAGACUAACCAGUAGAAUAAUUCAGGCGGUGGUGGACGGCUCACCUGAGCGCUGGUUCCGUGGACCGUCGAAGGAUGAGCUGUGUUCUUCAGAGCGGUGGGUUCUUCAGAGCGGUGGGUUCUUCAGAGCGGUGGGUUCUUCAGAGCGGUGGGUUCUUCAGAGCGGUGGGUUCUUCUGAGCGGUUGGUUCUUCAGAGCGGUGGGUUCUUCAGAGAUGGGUUCUUCUGAGCGGUUGGUUCUUCAGAGCGGUGGGUUCUUCUGAGCGGUGGGUUCUUCUGAGCGGUGGGUUCCUCCCUGCAGAGAGGACGGCGGCUGACGUCUGAUCGGCCGAUGAUGUCUGCGCCGAAACAGUCAUCAUCGGCCGAAACCGUUUAGAGAAUUAUAUGUUCAACGGCAAAGAGGAAGCUGAAAGGAGGAAGAUAGCAGGCAGGAAGUAUGUGGACAGGCAGUGACAACAGCUCUCCGGAGUUGUGAAAUGAUCUCUGUUGCCGUCAUGGGUCGUUGUCUCGUGGUCAGGGUGGUGCAGGAGAAAGACACUUUAGGUUGAAGACCAGAGGUUAGAGAAGUAGAACGGGUACUUGCAUUUGAG
ensembl:lncRNA